UACGUAGGGUGCGAGCGUUGUCCGGAAUUAUUGGGCGUAAAGAGCUCGUAGGUGGUUUGUCGCGUCGUCCGUGAAAACUCACAACUCAAUUGUGGGCGUGCGGGCGAUACGGGCAGACUGGAGUGCUGCAGGGGAGACUGGAAUUCCUGGUGUAGCGGUGGAAUGCGCAGAUAUCAGGAGGAACACCGGUGGCGAAGGCGGGUCUCUGGGCAGUAACUGACGCUGAGGAGCGAAAGCGUGGGGAGCGAACAGG
rnacentral:rRNA from 1 species